ensembl:snRNA U6 U6 spliceosomal RNA
UCCAACUCCAGUUGGAUACUAAAAUUGGAACGAUACAGAGAAGAUUAGCAUAGCCCCUGCGCAAGGAUGACACGCAAAUUCAUGAGGCGUUCCAUACUUUU